UAUGUGUGUGUGUGUGUGUGUGUGGGUGUGUGUGUGUUAAUAGAGUCAAAGCCAUGGGAGCUCUCCCUUAAGAAUUCUGGCGUCCUGUUUGUGUCCUGCUUGUCUCGUUACUCCCUUAGUCUGCACCAGUGUUCAGUUCAUGGCUUUUAGUAGCAUUUUAACGGUGUCUGUUUUUUUCCUGUCCCAUGUGGAGGACAUUGAUUCUGUUGUUCUAAUAACAGUAUGAAAUAUAGUUUGUGGUAGCUUUUUGGGUUAAAAAACACUCACUACAGCUUCCUGUCCCUCCAUGUGUUGCCAGAAAUGUUAUUAUUGGUCAGAUCUGAAGAUAUCUUUUGGAUCUGUGGAUUCUAAAAAAAUCUAUUUUUUAGAUUUUCACAUCAACACAUUUUGUAAAUGCAGCAAAAUUUGUUGCAAGGGUGGGACUUAAAAUAAGCAGGGCUCUCUAUCUCUACUGAAGGCAGACAGAA